GUUUGUUAUGCUGCUCCGUGUGCUAGUCUGAAGGUCACACACAACAUGGGGACUUGGGCAGAGCUUCACAUCCAGCAGAGCCGGCAGAAGAAACAGCUGGGCAACAGAUCCCCGCGUCCUCAAGGAAAUGUCCCUCUGGCUCUGUGGAAAACAUGACAAUAUUGACUGUAAAAUGGGUUACAAAAUCAAUGUGUGGUGCUGUUUAGCUAUACAGUCCUUGACAACAGUAGAAUAGCUUCUGAGCUACAUGAAGCUGGUUCACAAGCUCCACUGGCAUUCCAGGAUUCACAGCAGAAAGAUCAAGCCAGCUGCUUAAGAGCAAAGCUGAUGCCUCUCAGAUGCAUGCAGCCUGAAAUGUACAGAUUCAUAUGCAUAUUUAUAAAUCCUUCAAAACUGACCUCCAGAAUGUGAACACUUGCAGAGACAGCACUAGACAUGAAAACUGAGGUAAUAUUUUAAGGUUACCAGAAGGUUAUUAACAUUCUAAAUGCAGUUUGCCAUGAUUUACACCUAUUGGUGAUAACAGAUCAGUGUCUGCAGUUCCAAGAUAUGAACCAUCUUUAGUUCAGGAACUAAUAUGCAGUUUUGACUAAAACCUUUAAACUAUCAAAAGUUCCCAAAAAAGAAGCAUCAGGUGUUCUUUUGGAUGCUAUAACUAUUGUCAUGCAUGUAUCAAUUUAUAAUGUAUUAAUCUUAACCAACUUAGUUUCUUGUUAUUUUGUUAUUGUGAUUUAUUCAGUGUUUUUUGUUGUUGUCAUCGCAUUUUGUUUUUACCCUGGCAUUUCCCUGUGCUGCAGCACCUUUAAUCUCCGAAGGUUUUCCAGUGAUUACUGCCUCUUAAUUGCUUGAGACAGCACCCAACUCUGUGCUUGUAAUAAAAUUGCUUUUUUCAGCUGGGUCUCGGGGGAGCAGUGUCAAACAUACUGAAUAGCCAGACAUCAAUAAGUUUUCAUUUAAAGCAAAAGAAAAAACACACAUAAUAAUCAGUGAUGUUUGAAAUGACAAAUUGCUUUCCAUGGAAGGCCAUUUAUAAAGAGAUUCUCUGCUUUAGAGAGGUUCUCUGCAAUAUAAAAUACACACUUAGACCUGAAAACAAAAUAAAGUAAAGGAGCUUCCUUAUUGAGAACCCAGCAGAACAAUAUCUGUGUUACAUUUGCCAAGUAAAAGGUUUUAAAAUGCAAGUUGCCUGCUGCAGCUAUAUAAAUAAUAAAAGGUAUUGAGUACCUGGUCACUGGUAUAGUACAUAAUGUUUUGAAUUUUUAGGAAGCGUUGUACCUGGAACACUAGGUUUGACUAAUUUUAUUGUAAGACUGGCAAUUGCAAAUGGACACAGAAAUGAAAUGAUUUGAUUUAAACAG